CCAAAAUGCAGACUGUGCAAGGAAACCGACAAAACCAUUGAUCAUAUCCUCAGCUGCUGUAAGAAAAUCGCACAGACAGACUACAAACAGAGGCAAUUCAGGCAUAAGUUCCAAUGAAUCAUUUGGGCCACGUAGUUGUGCCUCUGUUUG
rnacentral:lncRNA from 11 species